GCGCCGGAGGCUCCAGUCCGAGCCCAGCAUCACUCGUGGUGGUUUCGCGCGCGCAUCCCCCGCCAAGGUGCGACUACUUUUCGAGGAAAGGGAAAGAGAUUCCGUCCUGGCGAUUCCGCCACGCUUUCAACCCCUUUUUCACGCGACACCCCGAAACACGCCGCGAAACAAUCGACCAACUGUGUCAUCAAAAAGACGAGCAAAAUACGAGAAGAAAAGAAAAGAAGAGAAAAAGAAAUCGUAGCGCAUCGUUUCCGACGUGCUAUGAUCACCAGACGAAAGAAGGAUCCGGCGAACGUGAGCCGACACCGUGAAGCAGCUAGAUCGUCGAACAUGUGAAGAAGAUGGAAAGAUCAGCGGCAAAAGGAUACGAAUCCUCGACGAGGAAUAUAAAGUCAAAACUACGGGAGAAAAUAUUUGCGUUCUCGAGGGAAUCAACGAAACGUGUUGAAGAAAAAACGCGAGUGAUUGUUUUCGAAACUCGAAUGCGGUCAAUUGCCACGACUUUGUAAACACAAAUAUCAACGCGGGUUUUGUUUAUCCCUCGUUCAUCGGUGACUCUUUUAGCCAUUCGUGUUCAGUGGCCUGAAAUCGAGAAAUCUCUGGAAUCUUCGUGUUUAUUCGCGCUCGCGUUCCAUAAAGUAGCACCUAGUAAGUGGAAACAGUCGCUGAGAUACAGACAAAGAGAGCCAGAGGACAAGGGACAUUGGUGAGAAUCGUUUCACAGGACGCACAUCCUCGUGCGUGAUUUUAUUCGUCGUUUCUCCAAGUGUGUGCGCGUUUCUUAUCGAACUGUUCGUCUGAAUGGAAGCCAGUACGAUCUUAGCCGCGUAGUUGGACGGACCGACGAAUCGUUGGUCGUUGAAUAUUCACCGUGGACGAGGCUGGACGAUCCACGAGCGGAAAGUUCUCGCCUCGCAUCGCCGCUUAUAAUCACGUUAUGAAUGCACGACACGCCGUUCCGGCUUCGUAGCGGCGCAUCAUGCUCGGCUGCUUGAAUGUGCCAGUGCAAGUGCGAGAUCCGUGGUAUCGAUCCGUCGAUCGCCGAUAAAUAAAUCGGGCCCCGUGUUUCGUGUAACGUGUUCCGCGGAAGGUGAUAAAGGGGAGAAACAUAUAGAGGAAGGAGAGAAAUUUUGCGUCACAGUGAGAGAGCAAAAAUAUCGAGGGAAGAAAGGAGGAACGAAAUUAAAGUGCGCGCGAGUUGGUUACUGGGGCGCGAAUGAUUUGUAGGUCGGAUAUUUCGAAAAUUGCGAUCGCCAGCUGUCGGAGGAAAUGUUUCACCGAAUGAUGGUCAGAUCGGUAGAUCGAUCGGCAAUCGAAAGUUUUCGUUCCUUGUAAGCCCCUACCACCCUGUACUUUCUUCCCCUUUGUGUCUCCACCAGUUUCUACCUUAAGCUUUCUGCGAAUUGCCAGCGUAAUUACAAGUGCCGCGGCUGAGAAAUAUUACAGGUUUCGUCUUUCCAUGGAAUAAGAAUAACAGUGUCGCUGCGAAUCCCUUCGAGGUUUAUCGAAUAUUCUUCGCGUAAUCGUACGUCGUUAUUCGUUCGGUCACGCGAUAGGAUGGCUAGUAGCUGGUGAAGCUCGAAAAAUUUAUCCUGAAAGCUUGUGAAAGUGCGUGCGUAUUAUUAUUAGAACGGUUUUCUACCAAGUGACGAACGUACAUAGAGAAAGGUGUUGGAGGGCCAACCGAGGAUUUCGGAGUGUGUAACCACGGAGUUUCUGUCGUUCCACGAGCUCCAUUCGCAAUCGCGACGCUUGAUUUCGUAGCAUUGUCCGGCUCCCUGCACGCGGUCCAGUGCAUCAAAGGCGAGGAUCGCUUUCGUGUACACGGCAACGAAACAACAAAGGAAAUACGAUUUAUUUAGAGAAAUACGUAACCGGAUGGAAAACAAAUGAAUGUCAUUCCAACACACUGAGCUCGCAGGAGUUUCAUGGAAUAACGACGCAACGAUGAUCAAUAUGAAGUUUUUUCGCGUGUUUUUGGCACUCCUAGGAGGCACGCACGUCCUCUGCGCACAACCAUCCGCAUCUCCAACUGUGAAAAGCACCGGUGGAUCAAGCCUGGCGAGCGUGGUCGCCGGAAGUAAACCUUUGAAUAAGCCAGAUUUCGACGACAUCGCCCCACGAAAUGUUACUGCCAUCGUUGGUCAAACAGCGGAAUUGAAUUGCUUCGUGAAGCAUCCUGGAGACAGAGUGGUGUCUUGGAUACGUAAAAGAGAUUUACACAUACUCACGUCGUCCAUCUAUGCGUACACGGGGGACGAAAGAUUCUCCGUGAAGCAUCCCGAAACAUCUGACGAAUGGACGUUGAAGAUCGAUUACGUUCAACAACGUGACGCUGGGGUUUACGAAUGCCAGGUUAACACCGAGCCCAAAUUGAAUUUAGCCUUCGUGUUGAGAGUCGAAGAAAGUGCCCCUGUCCCCGCCACCACCACACCGAACGCCAUUCAUCGGACGUUCAACUCAGCCGCUCAGGCGAAAAUCCUGGGUCCGGAAGAAGUCUACGUGAAGAAGGGUAGCACGAUAAGCCUCACGUGCACCGUUAAUGUGCAAAGUACACCGCCCAGCAGCGUUUCGUGGCAUCACGGAGGAGCUGUGGUGGAUUUCGACAGUCCCAGCGUUCACCGCAGGGGCGGGGUUUCCUUGGAGACCGAGAAGACGGAAAGCGGCACGACGAGCAGACUUCUGGUGACACAAGCCAGAUUGACCGACAGCGGAAAUUACACCUGCAUUCCCAGCAACGCGAAUCCAGCCAGCGUAAUGGUCCACGUGCUGAAUGGCGAACAUCCUGCGGCGAUGCAACACGGCGGAAGUUGCGGCGUCACGCCUACCAUUUUAUUAGCGACCUUUACCCUGGUGAUAUCGAAUCUGCUAAGGUGAGCAGUAUCGUUGUGAAUCGUGCGACCUCCAAGUCACACGGUCUGAUCGAGCUCGUUUCGUGUACCGAGACAAACAUGUAUCACCGAGACCAGGAAUCGUUGAAAAGGUAAAACGUGAACGAAGAAAACCGCGUUCUCCUUUAGGAAGCAUACGGAGGUCAUUGUGUACGAAAGAAAGAACGCGAGAUUUCGUUUUAAAUAGCAACGUGACUGGCGUUGUUAACGCGUGAGAUCAUCAGAGAUUUUCCAACGAAAAAAAAAAAAAAAAGAACAAAAGAAAGGACCUAGGCGUGGACAAAGUGCAGUGGAUCUGGCCAUGUGUGAUAAACACAGUGACACGGAAGUGGAGCUCGACUUGCACACGAGGACUGAACACGUUUGCCAGGAUGAGGUUGAAUUUUGAGAAGCAGUAGGGGUUCCAGGAGCUGUAAUACGUAAUAAAGAUAUUACACGUCCCAUACGUGAAUGCAAAGAACAUGCCACGAGCAGAUGGCGUCGGGCACGUGUACGCGUACUCAGCUGUGCUUACAAGAACAUCGCUUGACGUUGCCAAAAUCUAUUACAUAAGGCGUCGAGCUCCACGUGCGUGCAAGAUUCUCGUGGUUUAAUGCCCUAAUAUUAAAUUGUCGUGAAAGGAUAACCGACCCUUCAAACCUCAUCCCCCGACGUAAGAUUUAACCAGAAAAUCGAAGAAGAAACUGUCAAGCUGAAAAAUUAAUAAAUGAAGUAGAACGUUUAUCAAACGAAGCUCUCACGGAUAAGAAACAUAUACUUGAUCCCAAAAUUAAAUAGAGAUAAUUAUUUAAUUGAUUGACCGGCUAAUAAAAUUCGAAAAUUUAUUUUCUCUGAAAGAUGGAAAUUUGAUUUAUACGCUUCGAGUGAAGCGAAGCACAACGCUAACAUUUUCGGUCAAAGGCUGUAGUUGAACGAGUAUGAAAGAUGUUCGAAAUUGGGAAUUUUUUAAAUUGUUGAAAAUUUCAUGAUGGAAUUUAGUCGAGCUACUAGAGUUCGCUAAGGAAGUUAGAGCCGUUUGUACGACGUAAAGGUUUCGAUUAUGGCUGUUGGCUUCUUGAGACUUGCAUUGUUGGCGCGCUUUCGACUUGAUGGUUCUUUGCGACUACCAAUAUCGACCAAGAUCAUGAUCUUGAUCUUUUUUAUUUCUUUUUUUUUUGAGGAAUCGCCAACAGGUACUCUGUUUAAUGUUUCUUUCUACAAUUGCACAAGUCUGAUGCUCCAGUGGCAAAAAUAGAUAGAAGCACUUUAUGAGCUUACAUUCGACCGUGUACAUUCGAAACUAAUAAAUUUUCCUUCCACUUUUCCUUUUCCGAAAUUGGUUUUUUGGCUUCCUACCACUGAUUCGUUCGUGGCGAAAAUUCAUCGGUUUCUGUGGCGAUUGCUCUCAUAUUUUCUGGCGAUUAAAUACUUGUAGAAACUUCUAUUUUUCCAGAAUGUUAUUUUUGGAAUUUUGAAGUUAAUUAUUAGCUUUUAGAGUUAUUCAAACGGAACGUUAUCGAAGGAAUGUCUCGAUCAAUCUGUCAGGUGAUUUUCAGUACUGUAAUUGUUAGAUUAUUGGAGAGACAGCAAUUCCUUCGCCAAGAUCGAUCGCGAUUGAUCGCAUACUAUCGGUAUUAAUUCCUAAAGUCGCAUAACAUGCCUGUAUAUACAACAUGAGGCCAUUUACUAUUAGAUAACCGCAUGAAAUUCAUAUCACUGAUGGGAUGGUUGAUUCUGUCUACAGACGAGCGCUUCUGAUACCGAAUAACAUGAUUUUAAAAUAUUUGACAGUCCUAUCAAAAUAUGCAGUUCUUCAGAUAUUGUUUCACAAUGGAAUUUAUAUUCUAUGAUUCCAUGCUAAUUUCUCUAUUAAUUUUCAUUCUUCUUUUAUAAUAUGACAUUUAUCAUAAAUAUGCAUCUAAUUUCUAAUUUACUAACUGUAUGAAAACACGGCAUAAGAAAACAAUCGAUUAAAUAACUGCAUAAUCUUUUAUAGGAAAUAACGGGUUGCUCAUUAAAUUAUGUUAAUAUAUUGCAUUUGAAAAAGCGUUUUUAACCCUCAUUGGAUUUCUGCCAAAUAAUUGCAUAAAUAAUUAAAUAAUAAUUAAGUGUAAGCCAUUCAAUUCUCCUCUGAACAUUUGCACAUAUAUCGGGUUAUUUACAAAUAAUUUUAUAGUCAUAAAUUAUUAUUGUACAUCCUGUAUAGGUAUCUAGUAUAUUGAAUUAUUAUAAAAUUCCUGUUUAUUUCGUAAGUACGUAUAAGACAUUAUAAGCUUACCAAUCUGAAGACAGCUGAUAUUAAAAAAAAUUAAGCUAAUAAUAGAAAAUUUCUAACGCAAUUUACUUAAUUCACCAUUUUAUUCGACGACCCCUUUUUCCAGAAGGCUUUUCAAUCGACUACGAUACACGAGCUGUUGGAAAUUACGAUGACCCAGGGUCAGUAAAUCUUAGACAAUAGUAGUAAUUGAAAUUCCUUGAUCAAUGCAAAUAAGAGACGGUUCAGAGAUAAAGAGGGAAGAUAUAAAUCUUUGUCAACGCGAUUUGGUUCACGGUCGAUGGAACGUCCGGCGUACUACAGCCUACAGCCUGCGGUUUACACAAUUUCCUCGGCAUUCGAGUAGUCUGCUCUACUCGGCGCUUCGUGGCCAGAAGAUCACGACGGAUUCCGGACAUCAGCGGACGAUCCGUUCUCGUCCUUUGUCGAGGAUGGGUAUCAAGGAUAGUUAAUUGGCUACCCGAAUAGGGCACGGCCAAUUAAGCGUUUAAUUAGAGUGGCAGGCUAUCGAUGGAUUUUCGGUUGCUUGGCAUUAAUCGAUGAUCUCUGGUCUGACAGGGCUUCGAAUAUUCGCCGUUGAAAUUCGUGGCAGUGGGUUUAUGUUUUGUUCAAAUUUCAAAAUACUGUUCGAAUAUUACAAUCAAUCUCUUGGAUAAUCUGUUGUUGAACGAAUAAGAACAUUUGUAUCAAACACGUUGAAAGAAACAUAAACUGUGAAAAUGGAGCACUUAUGAUCGAAUACCUUUAUAUGUAUAUCAUGUGCAUUAUAUGAAGCAUUCUGAAAUUUCAUUGGCAGUGUAAUGAGACACGACUGUCGUGAUUCAGUUGGAAAAAUUUGCAAGCUGAAGAUGAAUGUAGAAGUCACAGAACAUUUAUUAGAAGCAUAUACCCAUUGAAUAUUUAGAAGUAUUAAUACAAUGGAUGAUACGUUUAAGUACUUGAUUAUUUAACAUAAUUCAGUAUUUAAUUGCUUAUUUAUAAUACUUUUAUGACGUCUGUGCAAGAUACAUUUGCUUUAAAUAUCCUGUGUACAUUUUUGGAUUUGUUUCAAGCUUUUCCAUAAUAGUCGAGUAGUUUAUCAUCUUAAUUUACUUAUCUUAAUAUUCUAUGGUAUAAUCAUGAUAGGGGAGUCGCAUUACAAUGCUAAUGAAAUUUCAAUAUGUAUCAUAUACAUACGAUAGACAUAACGUAAGUAUUCAAAUAUCUUCAUCAUCUACUAUGUAUUUCAUUUGAGGCUACGAGUCCUCUUCUGAUAGUAAAAGCAAUAUGGUCAAAAUUGCGAGUGACUUAUGAAGUAAGACACAAAGUCACACCUAUAAUAAGUUCUAACAUUAUUCUCUGCCCGUAGAGAUCCCGGUGCACCAAUAUGUCGUCUCUAGCCGAAAAUUCACGAGCGCUUUCGAGAUUUUUAAAUAUAUAGAUAUAUCUAUAUAUAUACAUAUAUAUAUGUAUGUACCUGGUGCACAUAGGCAACAUGGCGCUAAAGUUAGUAGGAAGUUUAAUACCUAACGACUCCCUGAGCUACCGUUUAUACGGCUCCAAAUUUCAUCCCUUGCCUUUUCUUUUUCUCGUCGUCCCUCACUCGGUCCCAAGCUCGUCUUCCUGCGAUAUUAUUAAAUUUUCUGGGGGAAUUGAAGCAAGAGAAUCCAUUCUUGUCCUUGUGUUAUUGAAAAAGAGCGUACAACAUGGUUGACUGCACGAAGGGCGGCUGCAAAAUCAUUUCAAAUUUUCGAUUUGGCUGGAAGAUUUUAUUCGGUCUAUCAACGUUUUUAUAUGUUGGAAAUGUCGAAAUUACCGCGAACCAACGAAACGAAUUUAAUUCACCGAAUUGGACGAAAUAUCUGAACGCGACAAUUAACGUGCUCGAGAUUUUUUCAUGACUGCCAUAAUGAAAUACUAUUCUUUUGUAAUUCCAUUCGCGAUUAAAAACGAUACAGUCAAGCGAAGCAAGCGCUUUUCGAACGAUACGUGGCGAGAAAAUGUUAGGUUACAACCACAGCUGGUUUCUGUAUACUUUUUCGCUCAUACAUACCAUCAUGAAGAUGUACGUGAAUGUUCGAAUAUCGAUCGGUUUAAUGACUGCCGAAACAUUUCCAAAGUACGACGAGUAGCACUCGAAGAAGGAUCGACUUUUGAAACGCGUAGGAUACAGGACAAUUUUCAAGAGUUCCUUCAGGAAAGCUAUGCCAGUUGGAGAGGCACUUUUGUAACUUUUCGUGCUUAUAGAUCAUUCCAUGGUAGUCGUAACGCCAACUUCUCUUUUUCUCUCUCUCCUUUUCUAUCUCCAUGACAACAGAUAGACUUUCACAUUAACGAAUCGAUUUCGUCGAGUAAAAGUUGAAGCUACAAUCGGCUCUUAGAGCCACUCAGACAUGCAACACCGGCAAACCGUGAUGAUUGAGAGAAAAAAGUUUCGAUUUCGUCAGGAAAAAGAAUAUUACCGACGAUUGUUGCAUCCAGUGUUAUUAUCGUUUGAAAAAGAAUGGUAAUUAAUAUCGUUGAUACACGUCGAUAACGAAACGAUGAAACGACACGGUUUAGCUUGGUGUACAUCCGGCAAAACAAUGAGUAAAAUCGCGGACCAAUUAACGGCGUAAUGGUUGCACGAUAAUUCGCAACGAUAAAGCUUUCCUCUCUCUGGGGAUCGUUCGAACACCACAAAUUGCCCCAGCUGGCCUUAAUAAUUUUCUUUAAUCACUGCAUUCUAUAUUUAAUUCGUAGCGUCUGAUAGAUACGUCCCGGUGAUCUACAGUUCUUUGGUAAGCUCAGUAGGCUAGCUUAGCGGAGCACUUAUGGCUGAUUUAUACGAACCAUUACCACUAGCAGUGACCCAAUAAGGUUAUCCGCCAACCUCGGUGAACCAGAUCAGUGGCGCUCUUAAAGGUUGAUUCACAAGGCCCACCGUUAGCCUUAAACCGUCCUCGACUGUGAAUCUUAUUAAGGUCAAUGAUGAUACUCUUGUACUUGGUGACUUGGAGAUUAAUAGCGAACUACUGCAGUGUUAUUGUCCCUGCUAUUGAAUACGAAUAUGAUUGUCUAUGAAUAUUUUGAUUGCGUUUAAUAAUGUGGGUAGUUUUAUUGUUCCAUCUCCGGAUAAGACGAAGAGGUUUGCUUACUACGAGACAGUUUCAGUGGCAGAUAAAAAUGUGACUGAGUAUAGUAUGAAUGAUUUUGAAAUAUGAAGUGCAGAAAGAAGGCCACUCGACUCGAAGACGAACUGAAGAACAUAACUCAACGACUAUAGAUACGCAUCAUCCACAUAUUUUAACAAACGUUCUAUUGUAUUUUGUAACUUUCUUCACUUCAGACCGCUUGAAGCAAGGAAAGCACUUAACUCCGUGCAAAUUAAACUCAAGAAUAGAAUUGGAUAAUUGUAUUCAGAAAUUGUACCGGUUAACUCGAUAGUAUUAGCAUAGUAUUAGUAAUUAUGAUUGUGCGCUAUUGCGCUAUUGUAUUCUUAAACAUUCGAGACUCGUUCUAUGCGUCUCUUUCAUAUGCACUUUGGUCGCUUUAAAUACUAAUCUAAGACGAAAGAAGUUUCCCAUUUGCCAUUACGGCAGCAAGAAAGAGAAUUCUUAGACGACACGUCGUUAAAGCGUGGGCGUAGCUUUUAACUACAGUUUCCGUGUUAUUAGCGCCGGCUAGUCGUUAGCCAAAUUUUUCCUGGGCAAACUAUUCAACUCGUAAUCCGAACACAACAGUGCUAAAAGCUCAUCGUCGUCCUUAAUAGUGCGCUCUGAAUACGAGCCAAAUAUUAAAAUCUCUUCUCGCGGAAGGCAAAACUUCAAAGACGCGGCGGAGCGGUUCAGAACGAAGAUUCCAGAAGAUUAGCCGGGAAGAAACGCGGAAAUUCGGUGGCUCCUAGACAUCGAAAAUCCGCUGCAAAACAAGGAUAGAAGCGAGAUAGUUCGAGUGAAAGGUACUGAAAAGGUGGAAUAAGUCGUCGAAUUGGAAGAUAACGAAAGGAAGGGGGACAGGGGAAGAAACUGAGCAGAACUGAAAGUGGAAAGACGGUGAAAACUUUAGGUUGAAACGGUUAGAGUGCCCUUCGGAGCGAGACGGUAUGAAGAUAUCGAGGAUAGGGUCUCGAGACGAGUGGCAGAGUGAGAGGACUCAUGGUGAUGUGCAAUUAGGAAAAUUGAAUUCCGCCGUAAUUAACUUUCUUAAUUAAUAGAAUCGCGGGAUUGUAUCUUUAAUCUGGCCGUUGGAAGUGCUUCUGGCAGCUUCUGUCACCGAACGGAAGAGAAUGUGGCUUGGCUCCGACUCGGGAUGAAACCAGGAACAGAUGAAGACGACUGCAAGGAACGAGGAUAGAGAAAACGAUAGGAAGAGCGGGAUGCAAGAUUGACGAACGUGCAGAGAACGUGGAAGAACAGGGAGAAGAAAGGGAGAAGAAAGGGAUAAGACAGGAUUGUUGCAAGAUGCAGAAGCGGUGGCGACGAUUGCGAGCUACUUGGGAUGGGUAGUCGCUGUAAGUUUUGAUAUAUGCGCCAGGUUAUUUACGAUCGCAUAAGAAUUAGCCCAGACAGUAAGCCAGUCUUUCUCUAGCAAAAAGCCAACUUUGCGCCGCGGACUGGCACUGUAGUCCACCGGUUUUUGCUCGUUCGCUUUCGGAAAAGUCGUUAAAUCUCGCGCCGCAUUCGACGAAUCAGCCAAAUGACGUUUCUUGCGUCCUGUGGUUGUAUCGAUGGAACUUCGGACGACGAUAAUUCCACUCGCGUGUUUCAACUUCUUCGACACGGUGCAAUGGUGUCAUUCAAAUCUGUAGGAUAUUUCGACGAAGCUAAACAAUGCAACGAGUUAAUUGAUUCUCGAAAGUGUAGCUGUUCGUGUAGUAUCAUUUCGCUAUAUCUCUUCUGUUAUACGUUGAAACAAUAGCCUUAUCAUGGAAUUAUUCAACUCAUCCUCUCGUUUUUUGAUAUCUUUUCUGGCUGAUCUUAAGGUGCACGAUAUUUUCUCAUUCUUUCGUUAUUAUAUUAACGACUAAUAGUCUUUAUCCAAGAUAUAAUAAUAUGCAACAAACUUGAGUAUUCUAUGCGAAAUUGAAGUAUAAAUUUGAACAUGCGGAAGCUCGGAUGAUUCAAAUAACCCCAUCUUCGAUAGAACAAACCGGACAAGUGGCGAUAGAUUCGCGAGACCAACUGUUUGCAUCGGCUCGUGGAUACUAUUUGAAAAUUCGUCGGAUCCCCGGGCGAGAUUGUCACAACGAAUUAUGCUGGUCGCGUGAAAAAUUAACGGAGCUGGUUUUCGACGAUCGACGUACGUUAGAAAGCCAAGCGGAAAGUCAUUUUUCUCUUCGUUCCUUUAACGGCCACUGGCAGAUUAAUUAAUCACGCCGUGCCGAUUUCGUUCGACCACGCGGCUCGAUUAAUAAAAUCGAACCCCGACUCUCGUUCCUUGUUUAAGUUAACUUGCUCGCCGUGCAGUUAAUUACGCCGAUCGAUGAGCGCCGCAUAUUUUUGACGUUCAUGGAAUACGAGAACAUACCGUGUGUACUCGUAAAACUGGUUUUGACGAGCGCCUUUAAUCCCGGCCAGCGAAUGGAAACGACUCUGAAUUCACGAUGAAACGCGUAAAUUCGCAAUCUGCAAAAUGUACAACAACUCGCCGAACUUCUGAUUUAUGAUCCUGGACAACGCUUUCACAGGAUUUUCCACGUUAUGCCGUGUUAUCUGACACAUCUAAAAUAUUAUGAGGAAAGUUGUACCUGCGUACAUUGUACUUUUCGACCGAUGUGCAGCAAUUAUGUGGAGAAUCUCUACUGUUGUUAUUCGACCGCUUACGCACCAGUGAAACCUUGUCAGUCUGUCAUCAAACUUAUCGAAGUUCGAACGUGGCGCCAUGAAGAAUAAUAAGACGAGUCAUUGGUGCUCUGAUUGGAGUAUCACAAGGAAUUGUGCUUCGUGUUGUUUCAAAGGAAUAUCGAUGGAUUGGUCGAUGGAUUUCUUGGAAACAUUGCAAUACCAAGCCUAGAUGAUGGAAAACGAGCAUUUGCCAUUACUGAGCAGCGUUAGUUAAAUGAAGGUGGAAUGGUGAGUAUUCUCUUCUCGAUUAUUUACUGAGGGUCGCAAGUAUUAUUAUAGUGGCGGCUACUAUUAAAUCACUAUUUUACGUAAAUGUUGGUUGUUCCUAAUUAUGUAUAUUAAUCUUUACAUUUAUCGGAAAACUUAAUUUAACAUAUUUAAACAAAUUGUAUUUUAUUCGGUAUUUUCUUGAUAUUUUUAGGCGAAAUGCAUUUUUAACGUCGCACACGAUAUGUUUUCAUAUAUCAAAGGAAAAAGGCUUUCUCUUGUACAAUUAAAUUAAUUACUGUUAGUUAGAAACUAUGCAUUAUCAGUAUUUUUCUUUCAUAAUACCUAGAAAUCUGAGUAAUGCAACAAGCAAGACUUUUGCAAGUAAAUUUUAUUAAUUGUAUAAAUUAUUUGAUUAUUCUAUAUGAUGUUGAAUUUUAUGCAAGAAUUUGCACCUGUAGAAUGAUAAAAUUGAAGUUUAUGAUGUAUAACUCGUGUCUUGUCAGUUUAUUAAUGUUCUAUUUUAUUAAUGUUUUAUCAAUUGAUGAAUUAUCGUGCAAGCCGGUCUUUGUUAAAAAUGAUAUUCAACUUUACAUUUAUCAUCCGAUAUCUCAUAUUUAACAGUUUAUGACGGCCAUAACUUUUGUUACGUAAUGAAAUAACUUUCAUCAUUUUUUCAUAAUUUCAUGACCCUGUAUCUUUUAUUAAAUAUUCUCCACAUAUUCUCUAUAAUUUUAUAUCUUUCGCGUACAUUUAGAAUAAAAAUUCGCGAUAAGAACGAAGUAAAAUUUUGCUUUAUUUAACAUGGAAAUUACGCGAAAAAAAAUAAAGCUAUACAUGUAUCCAAUAAAAUAAUUACACAACCGUGGUUUAAAAGAUAAAAAAUAACCCACUCCUCGUUCACAGACCACCGUUCGAUAGUUUUAACAUAGAAAUCUUACGUAUUUUGUCGCUUAUUCCUGAUAACAAUAACAUAAUAUUUUCGUCAUUAUUUUACGCGUAACCGGAUAUCGUCAAUUAUAUAUACUGCACGAAUGAGAGCUAGCGUAUAAUAACGUACAAAAGUACGUAUAUCAAACAAAAAAAAAAAGAGGAAACUCCGACGGGUUAAAAAAUAGCCCGGCGGAUGAACAUCAUCACAGUGGCCCGAUUUCACGAGCAUUGUUAUGGUGAUAGAGUUCGAGAAUAAAAAAAAAAAAAAAGAAAAAAUAGGAGUGGAAGGGAAGAAAGAAAAGGGGUGAAAAAGAGUGGGAUGAAACACGAGCGAAUAGCAAUACGCCUGCACGAACGAAUUUGUUACCAGGCGAGUUUUGAUACCAUUUAAUUCGUUGUUUCGACUGUGACGAAUUCAUCAUGAACGGCGGGAGGCGGGAAAACCUUCGAUUUCCAUUUAACCCAUUCAAACUCGUUUUCACGUGUUUCUUUAACCAUCGAAAUAGGAAACGGCCGCGCCGGAUUGUUCAAUAUUUAACUGCAAGUUUUUGUAGAGUUUGGUUUUUAUCCAGGCCAGCCAAAUGCUGGAAAUGCCGAUUGGAGACAACAAUCGAUGAAAAGCACGCGCGGUUUUCCACGUCGCGUUGCGAACAUAAUAAAUCUUAAAUUCCCUAGCUAUUCGAAAUUUUUGUAUUCGCGAGACAUGGUCGAGGGGUCACGGGUUGGGGAUCCAAGCAGGCACGCGAUAGAUUUGUAAUCAAAAACAUUCGUCUUUAGUCCUUCGACGCAACGUCGCUGUCAACCUUAGCGUAUUAUUUUUGUAAGCGCGUGUGUGGAAUAUUGUGCGUAGUGAUGCACUGUAAAGCCUAAUCUCAAUCUCUUAUCUCCGGUAAAGUGUAUGAAAGAAUAAUUCUUAAACUCUGUAAGAAAAUUCUGUUCGAAAAAUUUCCGUGUUCCUGUGAGCUUAUCCGUAAGAGGAAACUUAUGGAGUGGGGAUAGAAGCACGUAAGCCUUCAUCGACGUUAUAUGUCUUCGAUCCUUCGACAGGUGAAUGUCAACACAACAUCAAGUGCAUUUUACGAACUAUACCGUGGAUGCAUAACAUCGCGAGUUUGGAAUUUAACAUCGUAAGACAGUAAAGUGAAAAGAUACUAAAUUAUGAAUUCUGUAAAAAGAUUUCUGUGCUCGUGUGACUAACUUUGUCCAUAGGAGAUAUUUCUGGGACGAAUAUAUCAGAAACAGGAGAAACUUAUGGAGUGGAGUUAAGAGAUACAACGUUCGUCGACGCCAUGUGUCUUUGACUCUUUGACGAGUCAAUGUCAACACGACGACGAGUGGACUUCUCGUGCUAUGCUUCGGCGUGGAAUCUCGUGUAGAGUGUAGAAGCACAUGACGACAACUUUUGAUGGAAUUCGUGAACUGGAUACGAAGCGGACUGCUUCAAAGAACCUGAAUCGAAAAUAUCCGACUGGAUGAUAGAGAGGAACGUCGUUUGUCACGACAAAAUACCCUUUCUGGAAGUUGCCGAGGAAAACAAUUAGAUGACCUAUCGCAUGAUUCUAUCGACAUCCUUCAGGCAGCAACCUGCCAGAUGGAAGUAAAGUAUGAAGCCAGAUGGCGUCGACGUUUUGCCAGACACACAUCGCGUUCCAGAAUUUAAUUGG